GCUCAGCUUUGGACAUGUGGGCAGGGGUUCCGGUGGAGAGACAGAGUCAGGGGUCUCCAGGCUAGCCGGGCGAACACACCACGCGUAGGUGCCCAGAGCCCCGCCGGUGUCCCACCAGUUUCCACUGGGGAUUGCUGAGGGACUCCCAGACCUGGAGCUGGAGGAGGGGCCCCCAGNGGGCUGGCUGGCAGGCAGUUGCCUAGCCCCAAGCCGGGCGAACACACCACGCGUAGGUGCCCAGAGCCCCGCCGGUGUCCCACCAGUUUCCACUGGGGAUUGCUGAGGGACUCCCAGACCUGGAGCUGGAGGAGGGGCCCCCAGAAUGGCUGGACGGCCCAUCAAACAGGCAAGGCUGCAGUGCUUACCCCCUGCUCUUGCCACGAUCCGAAUGGGUGGGGUUGAGGGUUCCCAGCCUCAGAUGGGUCUGAGCUGGUGGUGGGGGGCGGUUUUUGUGAAACCAGAGCAAGUAGCAGGAAGGUCAUGGCCCCAGGGCAGGAUCAGGGGCCAAAGGCUGUUGACAGAGACUGGUUCCUGCUUCCUCCCCACCCCCGUGGGGCGGGGCUGACCUGGAUGCCAGCCAGGGCGCAACUCCCCCACCAACCCUCAUACCCCGGCACAGAAGGACCUAGAGACAGCGAGGGCCGGUCCUCGGAAGAUGCGGGUGCCCAGACGUCAGGGCGUCAGGCAGUUCAGGGUGGGGACAGAUACCCCGUGGCCCAGAAGUGGGAGUGGAGACCACUGGAGAGGUGAGAGCAGGGCAGGGCAGUGACCCGACCUCCCUGCGGGUCAAAGUGACAACUGUGGGUCCCGCAGAAGGGCGGACCAGGUGGACUCCCCCUCCCAGGGACACCCGGUGGAACAGACGCUGCUGGGGGAGCCCUGGGGAGUUGGGGCCCUCCAAAGGGGACAGGCAAGGCUGCCGAGGCCCCUACGCCUCCGGGGUGUCUCCACAGUGCUGCAUGUGCGCCCCUUGGGGAGGGGCCAUCAGGGCGGGUGCUGGUCGAGGAGCGGACAGCUGACUGGGGCAGCAGGACAGAGCGCCUGGCAGCCCAGCCACCUUCCCCAGGGAGGGGAGGGCAGGGGAAGCACUGAGACCCCAGCCUGCCCGACGGCGCGGGACCUGGUUGACCGUCUGAGCUGGAAGGCCUGUCACAACAGCGUCCCCCAUGUCAGCCAGAGGCCCUGUGAGCACCCCCGUGCUUGGGCGCUCCGAUCCGACAGAUCUCACGCAACCAUUCACAGGCCGCAGGAACCAAAAAGCGGGAAGACCCCAAGCGCACGCAGGUGGGCCCCAGGCUGUGUCCCCAGGCCGAGUCCGGUGCCUCUCUCUGAGAUGGGGGCGGGAAACCAAGGGCCGGCAGCCACCCUGGCCAGAUGGAGAACCCAGGGCAAGGAGGGCGCUGGAGGAAGCAGAACGAGAUGUCGAAACUGUGGGCACACGGAUUCCCCGGCAGUGACGGCAACAGGCCAGGUUGGAAAACAGAACGAGAAAGAGCCCAUGUAAAGUAAAACUAUAAUACCGGAAAUUUUCAAAAUCUAAUAGAAGGGUUGAAGGGUGAGUUGAGGAAGUCUCGCAGAAGACAGAACCAAACCCCAUGAGAUGGUCGGUGAGCGCCCGGGCCCUGAGGAGGGCCCGCACCUGAGUGACAGGCGCCCCUUGGCCGCGGCAGCUUCUGAUGGGCGCGGGGUGAGGGGGCCGCAUGGACACUGCCCAGUUUACAUAUUUCCUUUUAAAAAUAUGUGAGAUGUCUCGAACUAAAAAGGUACAGAAAACAUCAGUUGCCUGAAGAAAGAAAAUGUCAGGGGCACUGGGCGCACGGCUCUGAUCUCAGAGUUGUGAGUUCGAGGCCCACGUGGGGCGUAGAGAUGAUGUCCAAAAACCAAGAAAGAAGGAAAGAAAAUGUCAAAGGUGCCUUGGAAGUGCCCACUGUUGCCUCCGCUGCCCGCGUCCCGCGGAGAGUCCCGCCGCCUUCAACCGCUUGCUCCCUGUGUCCGUGCCCCCGGCCUCUGAGCGUCCAGUUGAGGCACGGUAUCGGGAGCGUGGACUGCGGGGCACGGCGUGGCCGAGUCUGCUGACUCGCCCGCUCCACGCUACGUCUCCGAGGCCCAGUCGUGUCAGUCCACGUGGUGCUGGCUCAUUGCUUGUCCGCGUGGCUGCCUGGCCGCCGGGGUGAGGGGAAGACCCCAUUCCUGUGGCUGUGGCCGCCGGUGCCCCUCUGGGGCUCUUCCUCCCCUCUCCCUCCUCUCCUUUCCUCCCCGGCCCUGGCCCUGCACAAGCCUCCCCCGCCGUGUGCAGGGCGGUCUGUUCUCAGCCCGCAGCGCCCCGCCACCGCCACCGCCACCGUGCUUUAUUUUCAUGUAUGCGUACGCGCCGGUCUCUCCUGGGAGUUGAAAGUCAGGUUUAUCGAGGCCUCAUUUACAUACGCAGAAGCUUACCCUUGAGAAAUGUACAGUUCAGUGGUUUUGACAAACACCGUCCCGUAGCCGCCGUGAUCAAGAUACGGAACAUUUUAUCGCCCCACGUCCCUCCCGAGCCCCCGGCCGCCCCCGGGUGACUGCGUCGGGCGGGUCUGCCUCUCCGGAAAUAUCCUCUAAAUGGACCGUGUGGCCUUUUGUGCCUGGCUUCUUUCCAUGUGUCACCAAGCCUUGGAGGCUCCUCGCCAUCACGGCACACGUGGGCCAUGACUCCGCUUCUCCGCUCCCCAGCCUGCGGACCCCUGAGGCUUUGGGCUUUGGGCGCUCGGUGCCCGCGGCCUGGCGGGGGCUGCGCAGGUCUCAGGUGGCCGUGCAUGGUCCCUCCUCCCCCAGGAAGCACUUUAAGAGAAACCGCCGGGGAACCCAAAGGUGGGGGGCAGGCAGCCCGCGGAGCGUCCGACUCUUGGUUCAUCUCGGGGUGAUCUCAGGGUCGUGGGAUCGAGCCCCACAGCAGGCUCCAUGCUCAGCUCAUAGUCGGCUGCAGAUUCCCUCUCCCUCUGCACCUCCCUCACGCUCACUGUCUCUGAAAUAAGUAAGUAAAUCUAAAACACACAAAUAAGAGAGAGAAGCGGCCAGAUUCUUAGAGAGUGGCUGCUCAGCCCAAGGGCUGCAGCCACCCCGGCCCUCCCUGCCGGGGUGCAUUUCCGAGCCAUUCUAGCAAUGGGCACAGGCUCGGUGCCGGGGACCCCGGAACGAGCGGGGUGGCGUCUCUACACGUCUUUGAUGAAUCAUCUCUUCAAACCUAUUUCUCCUUGAAAAAAUUGGCUUUUUUUGUAAUCGAGUGAUAAGAGUUCCUUACACUUUCUGCACACAAGUCCCUUACCAGACACUUGGUGUGCGGGGAUUUGCUUCCAGUCCGUGGUCAUCUGUCCUCCAAAUCCUCGAUGUCUUUCAGAGAUCAGAGGCUCUUGAUUCUGAUGAAGUCUAAACACCAAGUUCUUCUCUGACGGCUUGUUUUUCCUAUGCCCCAUCUCAGGGAUCUUCGCCUGACCCGCGGUGGCCAGGCUGCUCCCCGCUCGCCGCAGGUGUGAUCGCUUUGACGCCGAGCAUUCCGGUCUGUGAUCGGUGCUAAUUCUGCGUCCGGUGCAACGGGAGUUUUGUCUAGUUUGUUGGGCAGACAGGUCCAGCUGCUCCCACGCCAUUUAUCGAAAAGAUGAUCCUUUUUGGGCGGCUCAGGUCAUGAUCCCAGAGUCCUGGGAUCAAAUCCCGCCUCGGGCUCCCUGCUCAGCGGGGAGUCUGCUGCUCCCCCUGCUUGUGCUCUCUCUCUGUCAAUGAAUAAAUUAAAAUAAUAAUAAUAAUAAAAUAAAAUUUUUUAAAAAUAUGUUUUUCAUAAAUUGACCUUGUAUCCUAUGAUCUUGCUAAGCUCACUUACUGGUUCUGGUUACGUUGGUAGAUUCUUUGGGUUUUUCUGCAGAGGGGAAUGUGCAGGCUGAAGAAGGGAGACCCUCCUGCUCAGUCUGAGAACGUUCCGUCCACUCCUAGUUUGCUUGGAGGCUUUUCUCUUCUUUUUUCUUUCCUUUUCUCUUUUUCUUUCUUUCUUUUUCUUUCUUUCUUUCUUUCUUUCUUUCUUUCUUUCUUUCUUUUUCUUUCUUUCUCUGUCAUGCAUGGAUGUUGCAUUUUAUCAGCCUUUUAUUUUUUACGAGAUGAUCUGAUUUUU
rnacentral:lncRNA from 1 species